rnacentral:rRNA from 1 species
UACAGGAGGGUGCAAGCGUUGUUCGGAAUUACUGGGCGUAAAGCGCGUGUAGGCUGCGACGUAAGUCAGGUGUGAAAGCCCUCAGCUUAACUGAGGAAGUGCACUUGAUACUGCGUCGCUUGAGUGUCGGAGGGGGUGGCGGAAUUCCCGGUGUAGAGGUGAAAUUCGUAGAUAUCGGGAGGAACACCUGUGGCGAAGGCAGCCCCCUGGGCUAACACUGACGCUCAUGCACGAAAGCGUGGGGAGCAAACAGG